ACUUCCUCUUGCCUUGCGCAAGCUCACAUCGUUGUAGAAUGCGGAUUUCGAAGCUAGUAAGAAUAGCUAGCCAGUAAGCUAAAAACAAGGUUUCCUGUUGUUAGGCUUGAAACGGCUAAAAUGUCUAAAACACACUCACAACCCCCGUCAUCUUCGGCAGCGACGACUACCGGGGGACCCUCUUCGUCCUCUUCGUCUUCGCCCGCAGGGGGCUCGACAUCUCCCGCAACCGUGUUAAACGUGCAGCCCGAGAAACCUCAACAUUACACAUAUCUGAAGGAAUUCAGAACUGAGCAGUGCCCCCUGUUCGUACAGCAUAAAUGUACACAACACAGGCCUUUUUCCUGUUUCCACUGGCACUUCCUGAACCAGCGGCGCCGCAGACCCAUCCGCAAACGGGAUGGGACAUUCAACUAUAGCCCAGAUGUUUACUGUACGAAAUAUGAUGAGGGAACAGGCACCUGCCCUGAUGGAGAUGAAUGCCCAUUUCUUCAUCGGACAGCAGGUGACACAGAGCGCAGAUACCACCUCCGCUACUAUAAGACGGGAUCAUGUAUUCAUGAAACAGAUGCAAAAGGCCACUGCAGCAAAAACGGCUCCCACUGUGCCUUUGCACACGGAUCACAUGACCUGCGUAGCCCUGUUUAUGAUAUCAGAGAAGUGCAGGUAAUGGAGUCGCAGGGAGGCUUGGGACCCACAGAGGGAGGUGGAGGAGAUGGACAGUCUGGACAGGCAGCAAGUACAGCCCUCAUAGAGAAGAUCCUGAGUGAGGAACCACGCUGGCAAGAUAACAACUACGUGCUAUCCCACUACAAGACAGAACUCUGUAAGAAACCACCUCGUCUGUGCCGCCAAGGUUAUGCCUGUCCAUACUACCAUAACAGCAAAGACAGGAGGCGAAGCCCACACAAGCACAAAUACAGAGCGUUGCCAUGUCCAGCUGUGAAACAGAGCGAGGAAUGGGGGGAUCCCAGUAAAUGUGAGGGAGCAGAGGGGUGUCAGUAUUGCCACACAAGGACAGAACAGCAGUUCCACCCAGAGAUAUAUAAAUCCACAAAGUGUAAUGACAUGCAGCAGUGUGGCAGCUGUCCCAGGGGGCCAUUCUGUGCCUUUGCUCACAUUGAAAGGCCCUUUGUUCCAGAGGAACCACCAUUCCCCACACCAAGCUCCCCUCCACCCCCCAGACCUCCAGACCCUCUUCCUGCCCAGGAAGCUUCUUCAAGUCCCAGUAGACACAACAUGGGGCCUGGGCCUAGUUCUGGUUCUGUUUCAGACCCCUUCUCCCCAUCUGCAGGGUCAUGUGUAGCGGAGCAUGGAUUGCUGGGUAGUGUUUUGUCUCUGUGUGCGGACAGGAGUGGGAGAGCUGAGCCUGUGUCUCCUUGGGCAGGAGAGGGAGGGUACGGCAGAGCACCUGGAUUUGAGAGGGAGGAUCAGGCAAAGCAAAGGAGUUUUGCUCUUGAGCAGCGCAGCAGAGAAUUUGCAACAGCACAAAGCAAACAGGACUUGUUAGUGUUUCUGCCUGUGGGAAGCCCUUUGAGUCUGUCCUCCAGCAUCCCUUCAAGUCUGGCUGCCACCCCGCCCAGCCCAGCCCCUCUCGGACCCCCAGGAUGCAGCAUCUCCUCAGGCAUGAACGCUAACGCCCUGCCCUUUUACCCCACCAGUGAGACUGUAGAGUCAGUUGUUGAGUCAGCCCUGGAUGAUCUCGACCUGAACGAUUUUGGUGCAUCUGUGUUGGAGAGGAGCUUGGAGAGCAGCUCUGCUCUGCCCAGUGUUGGAGUUAUGCUGGGAGGUAGCCAGUUUCAGAGUUCUGCCCCGGUCAAUAUCCCAGGAUCCUUUAGCAGCUCUGCUCCCUUUAGCUCCCCUUCACCAUCUCCCCCAGUCAGGCCGCACACUUCACCAUUCUUUUCUACGCACCUGUCACAACCUGGCCAAUCAGAAAGCACCUUCUUGGGACCAUCUCAUAGCUCUUUAGGUCUGAAUGGUAUGAGCACUAAUAUCUGGGAGCAUUUUCCAUCAGGCCAGGGUUCCCCUGGUACACCCCCCACACUUCUGCCCUCUGGCCCCGGUGCAGAGACUUCCAGGCUUAAACAGGAGCUGGAGGAAGCUCAUAGGGCACUGAAGCACUGGGGUCACAGCUGGAGACACACAGCUCAGGUAGUCGUGGGCUGCACUAAAAGCAGAUGCAGAGGAGUCACGUGCCCAUGCAGCACGGUUAGCCAUGGACGCAGAGAGAGCCAGGCAGGCUGAGGAGGACGCACAGAGGCAGGCUUCUCUCCUACAGGAGGCGAUGGAGAGCUUAAGGAGUGGAGACAAUCCCCAUCUAGCACUGCAUCAACUUCAGCUACUACACCGACUUCCCUUGGAGUCAGUCCUCAGUUUGCAGGCCCAGCUCUGUAGCUGCUUACAUGCUGUGGAACAGGUGGUGUACAGGAAACAAAGGCAGUGCUGUGUGACGUGUGGAGAGCAGGGCUCAGUGUCCCUGCCCUGUGGCCAUGGACUACAGUGUGAGAGCUGCUCCACCUCUACCGAGUGCCCACUCUGCCCUGAACAGACACUGGAGCAGCAGCUCUCUUGACCCUACAACCCACUCAGACCGCCAGAGAUUUCAGACCAGUCAGUCCUGAUUCCACAGAUGCCAGCCUUGGAUCUCAGCCACCAUUCAAAAUUAUGUCGAGGUCAUUUUAUAAUGUGGUAACAACACAAACGCUGAUCUGGUUUUGUAUUUUUAAGAUGACGUUUACUGAUGAAUGACCAGCACAGGUCGCUAAGUGAAAGCUCUUAAUGUGGAAUUUAGAAUUAAUAAUUUUUCUAGUGGUUACACACGGACCACCAGUACUUUUUUAACGAGUUAAUGCUCUUGACCAGCAACACUGUUCUUUACCCCUGUUCUUGAUCUGUAAAAAAUAAGACCUGCUGUUAUUUCUUCUCUUACCCUAACUAUAAAACAUUUGAAAACAUAGUUCUAAAUCAUAUUUUGAUAUGUUUUAAAGCACAAGCACACCCUACAACAAUAUUUUUUUGUUUUAUCUAUCCAUCUGGAUGGCUUCAGUGUGAUUUGCUAAGUUUUAAAGAUGUUCACUGUCACCUUAGCACAACAAAGGUGAAUGGCAUUUGUUUUUGGCACUCAAAGCUCCAAAACAUUUUUAUAUGAAAUUGAACAGUCACAAGACAGUUACUCGUGAUAAUUCCCAGUCCUCAUCAACCACAAUAACCAUAAUCCACAGUUAAUAGGCAAUCCUUAUUACGAGCGGUUUAACUGACAACUAUUUUCUACUAAAGUAAGUCUAACCGUACAUGCCAUAUAAAAUGAAGUAAACCAGUACUCAAAAAUAAGAUUCAUAUGAUUUGUGACAACACAUGUGAAUGUAAAACUACAGUGGUCUUUUUAACUGAGUUAUAACUAAGUAAUGCUUGGUGGCUGGAUAGUAUCAUUCUGGUACACAAUGCUGUGUGUUUACAUCCAAAUCAGGGUCACACGAGUAACUGUUUUCAUGUCUGAGAAGAGGCAAAUGGUGUUGUAUGUGACAGCAAAGAUCUCAAAACCUUCUGGAUGGAUGGAUGACACAUCAGGUUAGCAGUUAGCAGGGUUUUGAGCUGUCUUACCAAAAUCAAAAGGUCUGACUGAAAACACUUAAAGGGCAUAUUUAGUGUCAUCCAGACAAUUAGCCUAUCAUGCUACAGCCAAAAGGGGGCCAUCACACCAGUCUGCUAGUAGCACUUGUUAAGAUUAUAUUGAAUUUCGUGUUUAAUUUUUUUUUUUAGCAAAAUAAAUUUAAAAUGGUCAAUUACCGUUG